GGGGUCGAUUUGGUUUUGACAGCAAGUCUAAUCGAAUGGUAAGCACGUCGAGCGCUGGGAAAUAGCUCGUAAAUCUCAUUUUUCACACUUUUUAAACGGCGAGAAUAACUACGCCCUAGCAGCGUAAUCUGAAUCACAGUAGGAUUAUGCCUCGGUCCGUAAGACGGACAUGCAGGAAGUCACUCGAAGGCCUUGGUUUACGGCAAUCGAUUUAGUGGCUUCGUAAAAGUAAACCUAUCGGGAGCAGGGCUUUGAUGCUCCUGAGACACCUAAUUGAAGAUAAGCUGUGCGUUGGUCGUUCCUGACCGGCAAGCAGACGAAAACCUAAACAGGAACUAAACGUGUAGAAAGCUGUUGGGUUGCUUGUUUGGACGAGGGUUCGAACCCCUCCGACUCCACCU
rnacentral:tmRNA from 1 species